UGCUGCCUGAGGGGGGCGGGGCAUUGUUAGGACAGGGAGACUGCAGGAGCGGGAAUGGGGUGAAGUGAGGAAGAGAACCUGUUGAGGGGAUCUUGACAUCCCAAAGGAGGCUCAACAGAGAGUUCACAGGAGGCAGGGAGAGAAGGAUCUAUGCCCCUCAGCUUCUGUAACUGCCCCCAGAACUGUCCUCUCACCACGGCUGCCCACACAGGGAAAAGACAUGGUUCCCCCAAAGGAAAUUAGGAUCUUGGAAGAAAAAUAGAUCUUGGGAAAGGCCCUAAAAUGCUAAUUACCUAUUAUAUACAGAACGGGGAUCCAGAUAACUUCCCACAAGAUCAGAACAGCUGGUUAGAUUCAAACAAGAUAAAACAAACAUUAAAAAAAAAUGUUGACCCUACAUUGAGGGUCAAGAAUCCAACUGCACACAAAGCGAUGUGGAAAACCUACCAGAUCAAUAAUUGGAGAGUGAUGUGGCUGCCAGAAACAUUAAUUCCGUGUGAGGACAUAUUGAUGGAGGAGUAGAAUCUAGGAAAGGAAAGAUGAAAGUUCAGCUUUAUUCCCAACUGAGUUCAAUUCCAAGAGUAGUAAUCCUUUACAGGGGACAUUGUUGACCUAUUAAGAAGCAAAAAGAGAAGAGAUGUCACAAGGAAGUCAGUAAAGGAACUGGUCAGAUGACAUGGUAAAUGGAAAAAGCCGGAGCCCUCUCCAGAGACAGAAAAGCUGGAUUCCAACUCCACGCUUUAUCAGUUAUUAAAGAUUGAUCGUUCUUCACGUCACACGCCACGUCAGACACCAGGGAGCCCUGAGCUGCUUUUCUGUAAGAGCCAAGGGCAGGAAACACUGGGAGGGAGAGCUCAGCUCCACCUUAG